CAAAAGUUGCAGCACAGCGUGUCACCAGAGAGGAAAAGAAUAUCCUUGCUGUGCCAAGAAAGAAAAGACCAUGGAUCUACUAGUUGCAGAUUUCAGCAGUAAUGCCAAGGGGGCAAGAAGUGACCAGCAGAACAAUUAGGCCAUGGCAACAGAAGCCAACUACAACCCAUGUUCCAAUCUAUGACCUCCCUCUCCUGCUGGUACAAGGAUAUGAAUGUGGCUGUAGCAUCAUUUUUGGAAGCCAGAAUGGUAAUACUGAAAAUCACUGCUUGUCUCAAGAUCCAACUUCUGGAAAUCUCAACCAUUCUGAAUACAGCCAUCAUUCUUAAAAUUGAAGAGAACUGUUUUACAAGAUCUUGACUUGUAAAGAAACCAAGUUUAUUAAGGGCAAGAGCUGAUAAUCAACUGACUAAUGAGGAUUGACUUCUACAAUUGAUGAGCAUGGAAUUGGAUGUGCCUAAAUCAACAGAAGAGGGAUUUUGAUGUCAUCACACUGUAGCCCCAGAAGACAGAACGCUCAAAGGUGUCAAUGGGCAGAAUUUGUAGAUGACAUACAGCAUCCAAUGGAUUACUCCUAUUCAGGAUAAUGGAAGAAAAAGGUUCUUACCCUUCAGCAGAUAGCAUGCUGAGCCCUGAACAAAUUUUAUGACUUCUGGUGCAAAGCAGACCCAGUCAGCUUGCCUCUAGCAACUGGUUAAUACUACUCCAAGGAAACCACACUUAAAAUUCUUGGAAGUUCUUUUACCAUCACAUCAAGUUGCAUUUUGAAGCUGAAGCCCUUCGAAUCCAUUUAUACCUUGUGAUAUUCCCUUGCCAGAUUGUUGUUUUGUUUGCUAGACAUGAUUUUAGGAUUUUGUCAAGGAAGCCAUCUAUGACCCCAAUCAAUCAAAACCAUAAGGAUCAAGGCUGGAAGAACCUAUUCCUUAGAGCAAAGGAUGCAAUGUCAAGCAAGUUGUGAUACCUCAACUAUCUACAAUUUAACACCAAGGAAAGAACACUGUUUGGAGAAAUGAGAAAGAUUAUCAUCAGUGUCUUUCAGAAGUCAUCAAAAGAAGAAAAGGAGAAAAGAGAGGAGAAAGCAGAAAGAUCUGGAGUCUGGGAAGUUCAAGAGCAUGGCACCAACAUCUGGCAAGGGCUUUCAUUCUGCAUCAUCUCAUGGAGGAAAAUAAAAAGGAGGCUGGAUGCUCCUGUGAAGUACGUCUUUUAUCUACUUGCUAUCUUUGCAAUUCCUUCAUGCUACAAUGAGAGAUAGAGUUUAAACCUGAAAACAUUCUUGGAAAAGGAAUCUUCAUUAAUUCAAAUAUACCACAAGAUUCACCACCAUCACUACUCUAAGUAUUUUUCUUCUUGAGAAAGAGAAGGAGAGGGAAAGCAAGGAAGAGGAAGAGAAAGAGAAAUGGAUAAAAACAUGGUCAAGUAGAAGAGUCUGUGAUUUCAGGUAAAUCCAGAUUUGGAGCUUAAAUGACUCAAAUGCUUUGCCUACAUUGAUCCUACAUUCAGGCUGCUUACAUAUCUCUUGGCUUCUCUGAGAACCAGAUUGUCACCACUUAAAGUGUCUUCCAGAGUCCUCACGAGUAUCAGAGAAGGCAUAAUCUGUACACGUGGCUUCAUUUAAAAUGAAAAUAUCAAGCAGUGUCAUUUUCACAAGUAUCCCCACACUGUCUGAGGCUGAAAAGAAGAGUGUAGCUAUGCACACUGCAGUGAGAAGAAAAUUUCAGCUCAAUUGGAGGAUGUAAAGAUUGAAAUACCACUGCUCCUAGUUCUGAUGCAAAAUUGAAAAGAGUGCACUGGGUCUUCAAAUGGCAUAUUGACAAGGAGAAAGAGGAAAGGAUGCCCCAGGACAGCCUGGGGGUCAAGGCUGGGCUCAGGCAUGCCUGGACAAGCCAUGCAAGUUGUCUCCGGACUUGAACCACGUAUCAGAGGAGCUAUUUGAGGAGCCACAUCAGCAUACCUGCUUCUGUGGGCCCCCAGGCUGUGGUGCUCAGCCCUUGCACUAUGAAACAUUUUUUUUUUCCAGAAGCCAAAGCUUUGAGCAUCUCCUCCCAUGUAGAGAGUGUAUAUGUUUACGUCCAUGUCUUUCGCCAUGUGAACGCAUGCAACCACCACCUCAAAUAUCAUAAAUCCUCUCUCUCCCCCUUUCUGUCUGCCUGUUUAUCUACAAUCUGUCUAUUUAAAUUCUUUUUAAACAAGAAGGGAAUAUCUUUAUGCCUGUUUGUAGGGAUAUUCUACAUCCAUCUGUUAUUUACAUCAUUCGUUUUCCUGAGGUGUCUCCAACAAAUCCUGGCUGGAUGCACUGUAUGUGUUAUUAAUAAAACAGCUGUAAAAAUAUUAA
rnacentral:lncRNA from 1 species